GGUUCGAUCCUGGCUCAGAUUGAACGCUGGCGGGAUGCUUACAUGCAAGUCGAACGGCAGGCACGACUUCGGGUCUGGUGGCGAGUGGCGAACGGGUGAGUAAUGCACGGGAACGCUCAGUAGCGGGGAUAAUCAGCGCGAAAGCGUAGCUAAUACCGUAUGCCCUUCGGGGGAAAGCGGGGACCUUCGGGCCUCGCACUAUUAGAGCGGCCGAUAUCGGAUUAGCUAGUUGGUGGGGUAACGGUCACCGGCGACGAUCCGCAGUUGGUUUGAGAGACGACCAGCCACACUGGACUGGAGACACGGCCCAGACUCCUACGGGAGGCAGCAGUGGGGAAUUUUGACAAUGGGGAAACUCCCUGAUCCAGCCAUCCCGCGUGCGAUGAAGGCCUUCGGGUUGUAAAGCACUCUUGGCAGAAGAAACGGCACGGGAUAAUACCCCGUGCAACUGACGGUACUCGCAGAAUAAGCAACUGGCUAACUACGUGCCAGCAGCCGCGGUAAUACGUAGGGUGCAAGCGUUAAUCGGAAUUACUUCAAGGGAGGCGUGCGCAGGCGGUUCGAAAAGAAAGAUGUGAAAUCCCAGAGCUUAACUUUGGAACUGCAUUUUUAACUACCGAGCUAGAGUGUGUCAGAGGAGGUGGAAUUCCGCGUGUAGCAGUGAAAUGCGUAGAUAUGCGGAGAGGAACACCGAUGGCGAAGGCAGCCUGGGAUAACACUGACGCUCAUGCACGAAAGCGUGGGGAGCAAACAGGAUUAGAUACCCUGGUAGUCCACGCCCUAAACGAUGGUCAACUAGCUGUUGGGGCCUUCGGGCCUUGCAGCGCAGCUAACGCGUGAAGUUGACCGCCGGGGGAGUACGGUCGCAAGAUUAAAACUCAAAUGAAUUGAUUGGGACCCGCACAAGCGGUGGAUGAUGUGAUUAAUUCGAUGCAACGCGAAAACCUUACCACCUCGACAGGUUCGAAUCCCGAAGAUUGGGAGUGCUCGCAAGAGAACCGGAACACAGGUGCUGCAUGGCUGUCGUCAGCUCGUGUCGUGAGAUGUACAAGUCCCGCAACGAGCGUAAACCCUUGUCAUUAGUUGCUGCCGGAAAGGGCACUCUAAUGAGACUGCCGGUGACAAACCGAGAAGGUGGGGAUGACGUCAAGUCCCCUAUGGGUUCUAUGUAGGGCUUCACACGUCAUACAAUGGUCGGGACGAGAGGGUCGCCAACCCGCGAGGGGGAGCCAAUCCCAGUGAAACCUCUGAUCGUAGUCCGGAUCGCAGUCUGGAAACUCGACUGCGUGAAGUUUGGAAUCGCCAGUAAUCAUGAUCAAAGUAUCGCUGGUGAACAUGUUCCCGGGUCUUGUACACACCGCCCGUCACACCAUGGGAGUGGGUUUUACCAGAAGUAGUUAGGCCUAACCGUAAGGAGGGCGAUUACUAUGGUAGAUUCAUGAUCGGGUGAAGUCGUAACAAGGUAGCUCUGUUACUACCUACGUCUGAGCACACAAAAUCGA
rnacentral:rRNA from 1 species